rnacentral:rRNA from 1 species
UACGGAGGGUGCAAGCGUUAUCCGGAUUCACUGGGUUUAAAGGGUGCGUAGGCGGGCAGGUAAGUCAGAGGUGAAAUCUCCGAGCUUAACUCGGAAACUGCCGUUGAUACUAUUUGUCUUGAAUGUUGUGGAGGUAAGCGGAAUAUGUCAUGUAGCGGUGAAAUGCUUAGAUAUGACAUAGAACACCAAUUGCGAAGGCAGCUUACUACACAAUUAUUGACGCUGAGGCACGAAAGCGUGGGGAUCAAACAGG